AUGCUCUGUUUGGUUGUCCAGAAGGAAUGGGAGGAAAAAAAAAGGAUUUUUGGAAUAGUUUCUGCAACCACAACCUGUUUUAAGGUGGGUCAUCAUAUCACACUUUUGGGGCUGAUGGGAAAGGAAUCAUUCUCAUGAAGUUUGCCUAUUGUUGAAUCCAGAUGGAUUGGUGAAGCCAAAGUUGAUGGCUUUGAGGCACUUAAGAAUAUUUUAUCUUAUAAGUUUAUCUAUGUAUGAAUUCACAUGACUGUUAGAGUACUUAGGAUUGGCAUUCAUAGCGUCCUUUCAUUGGAAAACAUACCAUGUAGACCCUUUCUUACUAGGAAGGACACUGAGUCCUGCCAUAAUUGGGACAUGGAGUGUACUUGAGAACUGAGAUUCGCAACUGCUGUUGGCUUCUCCCUUAUAGAUGGUUAGUUAUGUGCAUGGAGGUUAUCUUAGCAUAAUAGUGAAUUAGGAAGUUAUAUUAGCGUGGCACUACAUCUUCCUCCAUGCCCAGGAUGUUCUGACCAUUUUCUAAGUCGGAAUUCACAAAUAGUGUGUGCCAUUGACUGUUAUUUUUUAAUUUAUUUAUCUAUAUCUUUGUGCU